GGCCUGAUAGUUCAGUGGUAGAAUUCUUGCUUUGGGAGCUUCAGCAUCCAAAAUUAUUGUAAGAGGUCUCCGGUUCAAUCCCGGAUUAGGCCC
rnacentral:tRNA from 1 species